rnacentral:ribozyme from 12 species
AGAAAAAAAAGAAAGAGAGAGAAAAGAAAAAAGAAACUUCGGUAUUCUAGUUCCAUAGAAUUGAAUUAAUCAU